CUUCCUCCUUCGAGUCUUGCCUUUUCUCUGUGUCCUGCAUUUAGUGAAACUGGUGAUCUCUGUGUGACUGUCCCAGGACAUUUCUCACUCUCCAUCAGACCUUUUUCACACCAACACCAUGUUUUCUGAAUACUUCCAUCUGGUUUUGCUUGAAGUUUGGACAAAGCUUUCUAAUCUGGAUUAUAUAUGUAUUUCCUUGACUGUACUGUAAAUGCUUAUCUGAGCUGGACAGGAAGAACUUGUUCUGUUGUUUGGUCUUGGGAUAUUACUGAAGACUCAUUCAAGUAGCAGAGAAGCUUUCAUGAGGCUGGGGAAGGAAUGUGUCAUUUUGUGUUUCUGCUCACCUGCCUGGAUCUGCCAAAGCCAAGUGCUGUCCAUUCACAAGAGAAAUUCUGUCAUGAAUGUCUGCUGUUAGGACUGGCAGUGAAUCAGAAAUGCCCAACUGCCCAAUGACUUUCCCCACAAGAAAAAGGUCCAAAGUUCCAAGGAGUAGAUUUUCAACAUAUAACUACAGACCAAGAGCAAAUACAACAAACCCUAAUACCAGUAUCAGUGUCACUAGUGACCUAGUCUGCUGAUCAUAAACUGAAUGGAGAGCCUGCAGUCAUUUGUCUGUUGCUUCAAUGGGGAAAUCAAUUCUCAGUUAUCUACGCAUGGCUUGUCUGGCUGAGGAUUAACCAGGCUGGGGAUGCACUGACCUCAAUUCAUUCACCACCUGCAAGGCUGACUUUGGACCAGCAGUCUGUAUUGAUCCCAGCAGUGCUGCGUGCACAUCUGUCAGUUCCACAGCUGCCUCCAGCUCAUCAGCACAUUAUCUGUGUCACUCAGAGCUGUGUGGAGGCCUCUCCACAGCCCCUGCCAGGUGGGGUCAGCUGCCCUGGCCAGCUCCUGCAGCAGCAGAUACAACACCUCUUUCCACACUAACUCGGCAUAAACUGACUUUGUUUAUGCUCUGGGAUUGAUGCUGGCAGCCCCUCAGCUGUCAGAAGCUGAGGAAACAAUCUUCUUUGCUCCUUAGACCACCAGCAGAGGAGAGAUUUCCAACUUUAAAUAAACUAGUUUGUUACAAGUUAAAUUUAGUUAAUUUGGAACUGGGGGAGAUUGAUGCACUGUUCUUGUAGGCGUGGUAGCUCUUCCCAAAACCUGGUCAUGGCUACAGCAAGAUCUUGUUCCAUGUGCUUCCCAGCAAAGUGGUUUUCCUUUUCACCUUCAGCAGCAGGAAUGGACAGCUUGAACUUGUAUUUACUUUAAAUAAAUAGAAUACAAUGAGUUUAGGUCUUAAUGCAGGUCAUCAGUUAAAUUUUAAAUGCUUAGGUGCUUAAAUAAUAGACUCUGUGUUAAAGUGAUAUAAACAAAAAGGAUCUAAUCUGUUUUGUUUAAUUGGAAAAAAAUUUGCAGAUUUGUAUUUGCCUUGUUAUCUCUAUCUUUUAUUAUUCCAAAGAGGCUCUGAAUAGAGAUGUUAUCUCAGCUUUAGCUGUGCUCUUGCAAUGUUGCAAUUCCUCAAACCAGUAAUUUAUGUUUCAGUUGAAAGGAGGUGAGAAAUAAUUAACUCUUGUAUUGCA